UACGUAGGGGGCGAGCGUUGUUCGGAAUUACUGGGCGUAAAGGGCGUGUAGGCGGUGCGAUAAGUUGGGCGUGAAAUCCCCGGGCUUAACCCGGGGCGGUCGUUCAAGACUGUCGUGCUAGAGUGCAGGAGAGGGAAGUGGAAUUCCUGGUGUAGCGGUGAAAUGCGCAGAUAUCAGGAGGAACACCGGUGGCGAAGGCGGGUCUCUGGGCCGAUACUGACGCUGAGGAGCGAAAGCGUGGGGAGCGAACAGG
rnacentral:rRNA from 1 species